UACGUAGGGGGCAAGCGUUGUCCGGAAUUUAUUGGGCGUAAAGAGCGUGUAGGCGGUCCGGUAAGUCAGCUGUGAAAAGUCAGGGGCUCAACCCUUGAAAGCCGGUUGAUACUGUCGGGCUAGAGUCCGGAAGAGGCGAGUGGAAUUCCCGGUGUAGCGGUGAAAUGCGCAGAUAUCGGGAGGAACACCAACGGCGAAGGCAGCUCGCUGGGACGGUACUGACGCUGAGAGCGAAAGCGUGGGGAGCGAACAGGA
rnacentral:rRNA from 1 species